CUAUCAUAGCAGAGUUGCGCCAUAGCUCCCGCACUAACCGGUUCGGAUUGCGCUACUAUUUAUAUUAUAUUUCACGAUUCUGGCAACACUGCACCCGAGCGCUGCCGAUCUUAUGGGCUCCAUGUAAAUGGUUUCCCACUAGCAGACCACUGAGCGAUCAGGUUGGUCGGUAGAAAGCGAAAGUGAUUUGUUGAGGCAGAAGCAAGUGAUCAGUUUAGUGCCUUUGAUUUGUACUACGUAGAAGAUUCCGUGCCUGUGGUUUUCGUCCGUGCCAUCGCCGUCAUUCUGUCGUGGAACCUGAAAAGAAAAAAUACGAAAUCAUACUCACCUGUGCACCCUAUCAUCAGUGCUCACACCGUCGUCCUGUGGAAGGAAAAGCUGAAAAUAAAAAAGGACACAACGUAGGAGAUCGCCACCCGUUUUUGUGGUAAGAACAACCAUAAAAUUGGUGCCGUGACCAGGAUCUCGGUCGGAAAACGUUCUAGAAGGUUCCUUUGGCACCCGCCAUUGCGUGGUCUAGAACAAUCCACCGCUGUGGUCGCGCCAUUACAUUCACCAUCCCUGAGACGACAACGGGGACGCUGUUCGUGUUGCUGCAAAUUGAAUUUGAUUCAAGGCUCGAUUUAUCGGGCGCAAGGUAAUUACCUGUCCGAUUUUCUUCCCAGGGUUUCACAGGUACCCUUUAGAUCGCUUGUUUCUUCCAUUCCAUGCACUUUUGGUCAUUCCUGGCAUUCUGGACACCCCGCUAACUACCUCUACGAGCCACGUGCAUCGCGCGGGCAAAUUGCGCCAUUACUGCCAGCCCCCACGGCGCCAUCUCUUCAAGCAACCGACGACCUGAUGAUUAAAUGUUAGUUGGAUCAUCACUGGCCCUUGUUACAUCACUCCGACUGUUACAUCUGGCCACUAACCCGGCCGUUUCGGGACUCUACGUGCUGGUGUACAUCCGCCCUCACGCCAUUUUGAGGAAGACUUCGCCACCAACCAACAAUCACCCACGGAUUUCCAUUCGCUUUUGAGGACGAUUCCUACCAGACACCUCGACGCCCUGGAACUAUUUCGGCGAUUUGGAUCACGAAUAGCGCGGACGGCGCUCGAGACUGUUCCGGUUAACGUUUUUUGAUAAUUCAAGGCACGCUUUGCCUUGGAUAAGAUCUCGCUGACUACAACGAUCAAUUUGAGCUGUCGAGCCUCUACCAUGGCAGACUGCGAGGUGCUCAUCGCGAGGAGAGACACGCUGCUCGCUACUCUGGGUCGGGCAGAGGCUUUCGUCGCCAACUACGAUGCAGGACGGGACCAAGGACAAGUACCGCUGAGACUGAGCCACGUCGACAACAUCUGGUCUAACCUCGAAGCGGUGCAGGGCCAGCUUGAGGAUACGGAAAGGACAGCAGAAGGUAGGGCAUUGCAUGCUGAUGUUCGUGCUGGCUAUGAAACCCGGCUUUUCGCAAUAAAAGCAGACUUACUCUCUAAAAUGCCUCCCACUCAUAUGAACGCUCGCAAUCCUUGUUCCGCUCAAACUAACUCCGCUCUCUCUGGGAUCAAGCUUCCAACUAUUUCGCUUCCGGAA